rnacentral:rRNA from 1 species
GAUGAACGCUAGCUACAGGCUUAACACAUGCAAGUCGAGGGACCGGCGCACGGGUGAGUAACACGUAUCCAACCUGCCCUUUACUCGGGGAUAGCCUUUCGAAAGAACGAUUAAUACCCGAUAUAAAGGAUGGGGAUGCGUUCGAUUAUGUUGUUGGUGAGGUAACGGCCCACCAAGCCUUCGAUGGAUAGGGGUUCUGAGAGGAGGGUCCCCCACAUUGGAACUGGGACCCGAUCCAAACGCCUACGGGAGGCAGCAGUGAGGAGUAUAGGUCACUGGGCGUUAGCCUGAACCAGCCAAGUAGCGUGAAGGAUGAAGGCUUAUUGGUCUUCAAUUUCUUUUAUAUAAGAAUAUGUAUUAUAUGAAUAAGGAUCGGCUAACUCCGUGCCAGCCGCCGCGGUAAUUC